GACGAACGCUGGCGGCGUGCUUAACACAUGCAAGUCGAACGGAAAGGCCCUGCUUUUGUGGGGUGCUCGAGUGGCGAACGGGUGAGUAACACGUGAGUAACCUGCCCUUGACUUUGGGAUAACUUCAGGAAACUGGGGCUAAUACCGGAUAGGAGCUCCUGCUGCAUGGUGGGGGUUGGAAAGUUUCGGCGGUUGGGGAUGGACUCGCGGCUUAUCAGCUUGUUGGUGGGGUAGUGGCUUACCAAGGCUUUGACGGGUAGCCGGCCUGAGAGGGUGACCGGCCACAUUGGGACUGAGAUACGGCCCAGACUCCUACGGGAGGCAGCAGUGGGGAAUAUUGCACAAUGGGCGGAAGCCUGAUGCAGCAACGCCGCGUGCGGGAUGACGGCCUUCGGGUUGUAAACCGCUUUCGCCUGUGACGAAGCGUGAGUGACGGUAAUGGGUAAAGAAGCACCGGCUAACUACGUGCCAGCAGCCGCGGUGAUACGUAGGGUGCGAGCGUUGUCCGGAUUUAUUGGGCGUAAAGGGCUCGUAGGUGGUUGAUCGCGUCGGAAGUGUAAUCUUGGGGCUUAACCCUGAGCGUGCUUUCGAUACGGGUUGACUUGAGGAAGGUAGGGGAGAAUGGAAUUCCUGGUGGAGCGGUGGAAUGCGCAGAUAUCAGGAGGAACACCAGUGGCGAAGGCGGUUCUCUGGGCCUUUCCUGACGCUGAGGAGCGAAAGCGUGGGGAGCGAACAGGCUUAGAUACCCUGGUAGUCCACGCUGUAAACGGUGGGUACUAGGUGUGGGGUCCAUUCCACGGGUUCCGUGCCGUAGCUAACGCUUUAAGUACCCCGCCUGGGGAGUACGGCCGCAAGGCUAAAACUCAAAGGAAUUGACGGGGCCCCGCACAAGCGGCGGAGCAUGCGGAUUAAUUCGAUGCAACGCGUAGAACCUUACCUGGGUUUGACAUGGAUCGGGAGUGCUCAGAGAUGGGUGUGCCUCUUUUGGGGUCGGUUCACAGGUGGUGCAUGCCUGUCGUCAGCUCGUGACGUGAGAUGUUGGGUUAAGUCCCGCAACGAGCGCAACCCUUGUUCACUGUUGCCAGCACGUUAUGGUGGGGACUCAGUGGAGACCGCCGGGGUCAACUCGGAGGAAGGUGGGGAUGACGUCAAGUCCUCAUGCCCCUUAUGUCCAGGGCUUCACGCAUGCUACAAUGGCUGGUACAGAGAGUGGCGAGCCUGUGAGGGUGAGCGAAUCUCGGAAAGCCGGUCUCAGUUCGGAUUGGGGUCUGCAACUCGACCUCAUGAAGUCGGAGUCGCUAGUAAUCGCAGAUCAGCAACGCUGCGGUGAAUACGUUCCCGGGGCU
rnacentral:rRNA from 1 species